GACGAACGCUGGCGGCGUGCUUAACACAUGCAAGUCGAGCGGUAAGGCCCUUUCGGGGGUACACGAGCGGCGAACGGGUGAGUAACACGUGGGUGACCUGCCCUCAGCUCUGGGAUAAGCCUGGGAAACUGGGUCUAAUACUGGAUAUGACUCCACGGUGCAUGUCGUGGGGUGAAAGCCUUGUGCGGCUGAGGAUGGGCCCGCGGCCUAUCAGCUUGUCGGUGGGGUNANGGCCUACCAAGGCGACGACGGGUAGCCGGCCUGAGAGGGCGACCGGCCACACUGGGACUGAGACACGGCCCAGACUCCUACGGGAGGCAGCAGUGGGGAAUCUUGCGCAAUGGGCGAAAGCCUGACGCAGCGACGCCGCGUGAGGGAUGACGGCCU
rnacentral:rRNA from 1 species